rnacentral:rRNA from 1 species
CCUGGUUGAUCCUGCUAGUAAUCAUAUGCUUGUCUCAAAGAUUAAGCCAUGCAUGUCUAAGUAUGAACUAAUUCAGACUGUGAAACUGCGGAUGGCUCAUUAAAUCAGUUAUAGUUUUUUUGAUGGUACCAUAUUACUCGGAUAACCGUAGUAAUUAUGGAGCUAAUACGUGCACCAAGUCCUGACUCUUUGGAAGGGAUGCAUUGUUUAGAUAAAAGGCCGGCGCGAGCUUGCCCACUUCUUCAGUGAAUCAUGAUAACUCGACGGAUCGCACAACCCUUGUGCUGGUGAUGCUUCAUUCAAAUUUCUGCCCUAUUAACUUUCGAUGGUAGGAUAGAGGCCUAACAUGGUGGUGAUGGGUGACAGAGAAUUAGGGUUUGAUUCCGGAGAGGGAGCCUGAGAAACAACUACCACAUCCAAGGAAGGCAGCAGGUGCGCAAAUUACCCAAUCUUGACAUGGGGAGGUAGUGACAAUAAAUAACAAUAUUGGGCUCAUCGAGUAUGGUAAUUGGAAUGAGUACAAUCUAAAUCCCUUGACGAGGAUCCAUUGGAGGGUAAGUCUGGUGCCAACAACCGCAGUAAUUCCAGCUCCAAUAGCAUAUAUUUAAGUUGUUGCAGUUAAAAAGCUCGUAGUUGGAUCUUGGGUCGUAAAGGUCGGUCUGCCUACUCGGUGUGCACUUGCCCUUCCAUCCCUUUUGUUGACGGUGUGCUCCUAGCCUUAAUUGGCUGGGUCAUGGCUUUGGUGUUGUUACUUUGAAAAAAUUAGAGUGCUCAAAGAAACUGCAUGCUCUGAAUACAUUAGCAUGGAAUAACGUGAUAGGAGUCUGGUCCUAUUGUGUUGGCCUUUAGGAUUGGAGUAAUGAUUAAUAAGGACUAUCGAGGGCAUUCAUAUUUCAUUGUUAGAAGUGAAAUUCUUGGAUUUAUGAAAGAUGGACCACUGCAAAAGCAUUUGCCAAGGAUUUUUUCAUUAAUCAAGAAUGAAACUUAGGGGCUCGAAGAUGAUCAAAUACUGCCCUAGUCUCAACCAUAAACGAUGCCAACCAGGGAUCGACGGAUGUUGCUCUAAGGACUCCGCCAACACCUUCUGAGAAAUUAGAGUGUUUGAGUUCUGGGGGGAGUAUGGUUGCAAGGCUGAAACUUAAAGGAAUUGACGCAAGGGCACCACCAGGAGUGGAACCUGCGACUUAAUUUGACUCAACACGAGGAAACUUACCAGGUCCAGACAUAGUAAGGAUUGACAUAUUGAGAGCUAUUUCUUGAUUCUAUGGGUGGUGGUGCAUGGUCGUUCUUAGUUGGUGGAGCCAUUUGUUAGGUUAAUUCUGAUAACGAAUGAGACCUCAGCCUGCUAACUAGCUAUGUGGAGGUUCCCCUUCAUGGCCAGCUUCUUAGAGGGACUAUGGCCAUUUAGGCCAUGGAAUUUUGAGGCAAUAAUAGGUCUGUGAUGCCCUUAGAUGUUCUGGAAAACACGCGCGCUACACUGAUGCAUCCAACAAGUUCUUCUUCCUGGUUCGAGAGGAUCGGGAAAUAUUCUCAAAUUGCAUUGUGAUGGGGAUAGACCAUUGCAAUUAUUGGUUUUCAACGAGGAAUUCCUAGUAAGCGCGUGUCAUCAACUUAUGUUUAUUACGUCCAUGCCCUUUGUACACACCGCCCGUCGCUCCUACUGAUUGAAUGAUCCAGUGAAGUGUUCGGAUUGCGUUGAUGAUGGAGGUUCGCCACUGUCGACGUCAUGAGAAGUUGAGUAGAGAAAGGAGAAGUCAUAACAAGGUUACCAUAGGUGAACCUACGGUAG